AAACUAAGCAUAUCAAUAAGCGGAGGAAAAGAAACUAACAAGGAUCCCCUAGUAACUGCGAGUGAAGCGGGAAAAGCUCAAAUUUAAAAUCUGGCGGUCUCUGGCCGUCCGAGUUGUAAUCUAGAGAAGUAAUGCCCGUGCUGGACCGUGUAUAAGUCUCCUGGGAUGGGGCGUCAUAGAGGGUGAGAAUCCCGUCUUUGACACGGACUACCAGUGCAUUGUGGUAUGCUCUCAAAGAGUCGAGUUGUUUGGGAAUGCAGCUCAAAAUGGGUGGUAAAUUCCAUCUAAAGCUAAAUAUUGGCGAGAGACCGAUAGCGAACAAGUACCGUGAGGGAAAGAUGAAAAGAACUUUGGAAAGAGAGUUAAACAGUACGUGAAAUUGCUGAAAGGGAAACGCUUGAAGUCAGUCGCGUUGGCCGGGGAUCAGCCUUGCUUUUGCAUGGUGUACUUUCUGGUUGACGGGUCAGCAUCAAUUUUGACCGCUGGAAAAAGACCUGGGGAAUGUGGCAGCUUCGGCUGUGUUAUAGCCCCUAGUCGCAUACAGUGGUUGGGAUUGAGGAACUCAGCACGCCGCAAGGCCGGGUUUCGACCACGUUCGUGCUUAGGAUGCUGGCAUAAUGGCUUUAAGCGACCCGUCUUGAAACACGGACCAAGGAGUCUAACAUGCCUGCGAGUAUUUGGGUGGAAAACCCAAGUGCGUAAUGAAAGUGAAAGUUGAGAUCCCUGUCGUGGGGAGCAUCGACGCCCGGACCAGAACUUUUGGGACGGAUCCGCGGUGGAGCAUGUAUGUUGGGACCCGAAAGAUGGUGAACUAUGCCUGAAUAGGGUGAAGCCAGAGGAAACUCUGGUGGAGGCUCGUAGCGAUUCUGACGUGCAAAUCGAUCGUCAAAUUUGGGUAUAGGGGCGAAAGACUAAUCGAACCAUCUAGUAGCUGGUUCCUGCGAUUUUCCCUCAGAA
rnacentral:rRNA from 1 species